UCUAAGCACAUGCCUUUAUACGGUGAAGCCGCGAAUAGCUCAUUACAACAGCCACCGUUUACUAGAAUAUAGUUAUCCUACUUGGAUAACUGUGGCAAUUCUAGAGCUAAUACAUGCAAAAAAGCUCCGCCCGCAAGGAACGAGCGCAUUUAUUAGAAUAAAAACCAAUCGGGUUUCGGCCCGUAAUUUGGUGAAUCUGAAUAACUUUGCCAAUCGCACAGUCCUAGUACUGGCGAUGUAUCUUUCAAGUGUCUGCCUUAUCAACUUUCGAUGGUAGGUUAUACGCCUACCAUGGUAGUAACGGGUAACGGAGAAUAAGGGUUCGACUCCGGAGAGGGAGCCUGAGAAACGGCUACCACAUCCAAGGAAGGCAGCAGGCGCGCAAAUUACCCACUUCCAGAACGGAGAGGUAGUGACGAAAAAUAACGAGACAGUCCUCUUCGAGGUCUGUCAUCGGAAUGGGUACAAUUUAAA
rnacentral:rRNA from 1 species